rnacentral:rRNA from 1 species
UACGUAGGGUGCGAGCGUUGUCCGGAAUUAUUGGGCGUAAAGAGCUCGUAGGCGGUCUGUCGCGUCGAUCGUGAAAACUUGGGGCUUAACUCUGAGCUUGCGGUCGAUACGGGCAUGACUGGAGUUCGGCAGGGGAGACUGGAAUUCCUGGUGUAGCGGUGAAAUGCGCAGAUAUCAGGAGGAACACCGGUGGCGAAGGCGGGUCUCUGGGCCGAUACUGACGCUGAGGAGCGAAAGCAUGGGGAGCGAACAGG